AUCAAACCUUUUCACCUUUGUCUUCUCUGUAUCUUCAACCUCUUUACUCCUGCUAGUGUUGGCGUUCAAAUGGCUUCUCCUAAUGUUCCUUCCUCCGGCAAAUCCCGUAUUAUCAUUCAAAGCCCUAAUUCUUCUUCAAACCCAAGGAUGACAAAAAUAUCAAAAGGAAGUCUUCGCAUGACAAGGUAGCAUGAAAUACCUUACUCUUGUAAACAAUAUUGGUGCCUCUGUUUCUUAUCUGCAUUGUCAUUCGCAAGCUGAGAUAAGAGAUGUUAAGCGCGAGAAAAAUGUCAGGAGAGUUAAGCAACCCCCGGUGAUCAAAACCCAACUGGAUCUUCCUAGUUUCAAGAUGCUGCCUAGCUCCGCAUCACAGGUCCCUUUGGGCGAGACAACUAAUUCCUCCCUUCAUGGUACUAUUCCUUCCCUUCAAGCGAACAUAACUACCUCCUCUUGUCCUACUACUUCUGCUCAAGCGAGCGUUAUCGCAUCCCUACUAUCUUCCACUUCUUCGUUAGUUCAGAAUCCUUGUAUGGAUGUUAUCCCUUUAGCCUUUUCGAAUCCCCUUCUUUCUUCUGGUAUGAUUUCCUCUUCCACAGAGUUAAUGGUAACUACCCAAGCUAUCACCUUUUCUACCGAGGAAUCUACUGCCUCCCUCCAAGACAUACCUAUUUCUAACUUCGUGGCUAUUCUUGUAUAUAUGGACUGUCCCACCCUUUCCCUCUCGGAGGCUUCUACUGCUAUUUCUUCCCCUAGCACUGUAAUGACUACUUCUCCUCUUCGCACAGGUACCUCCUCCCAUGCGAGUGUCGUUACUUCUGAGAUGUAUGCCUCUGAUGGAUCUAGUUCAGGGACAAGUCCUCUGCUUGGUAUCGUUCAGCUUGCAUGUUCGUCUUCUAUGGAUCCAUCCCAGCGUCGUUUGUGCGAGUCUCUUGUCAAGCUACUGAGCGAUUCUCCUCCAGAUAAGUUGGCUAGGAGCGAGAUCUUCGCUUAGAUGGACCCAUCGGUUAAUGCAGAUUUUGAUUUCCUGGAGUCUCGGCGUCGCCUUAUUCAAUCUGAAGGUUUUUCAGAAUCUAGUUCCACCAUCAGAGAACUUACCUCCCAGGUUGCCAGCUUGAAAGCUGAUGUUCAUGUUGGAAAGUCCUUAGUUGAGAACCUUAGCAACAAAAAUAAGGAGAUUAAAGAUUUAAACCGGAAGCGUGUUCUGGAAAGAUAUUAGCAUCAAUUCUCAGCUGAAGACUCACGCAAAGAAAAUGAGAAGUUGCGAAGUUAGUUAAACCAAUUGAUUAGCCAUCACUCGUACACACUUGAUCAAAUUGAUAACUUGAGAAACGAAAAUUUCCUUCUUUGUAGCCAAAACGAUUUCUGAGUUCUCAAACAUCCAACCUUUCGGGGUUAUUACAUAGUGCUGAUUUAAAUAAUCGAACUUUAUCAAAAAAAAAUCGUACUCUUGCUGAAAAAAACAGGCUCUUUUAAGCGAGAGAGCAAACCAUGCGCAACAAUAUUUAUCUCUCAGGCGAACUUGCAAUGAUCAGGAGGAAUCUCUUCGCGUACUAAAGGGUGAGUAUGACGAGAUACCAAGAAACUAUAUUUGGAGAACAAGAAAAUUAUCAAGAGCAAAAUAAAGAUGACCGUGGAAAUGAAUAAGCUUCGCGAAGAGCAUACACGAUUAAAGGGGUCUUUUAAUAUAUUACAAAAGAAGAAUCUCGCUCUUUCUCAAGAUGAAAAGAAUAUUCGCUCCCGUUUGAAGGAUUAAUAGGUGAUGAUUUUGACAAAAGUUUGGAGAGUAUGAAAAAUAGUGGUCUCGCUUUGUCACAAAAAAUAGUGGUCUCGCUUUGUCACAAUUUCUCAGAAGGAAGUUAGUGAGAAUCCAACCAGCUCAUGAUUCAGAAACUGAGAUCUGAAUUGGCAAGGGCCCAUAAGAAUCUUAAGACUCUCUCCUCCACACUUUCUGCUUCUCGUAACAGGACGGACAGAAGAGUCUUAUAUCUUGAGCAUUUGAUGAAGAUCUAUGUGGAUAACGCUCAGAAGAAUGUCGCGCGCCAAGCUCAUCUCAGGUCUAAGGAUUAUGCAGAUGAGAUAUGCAUUGCCAACCAGCUUCCUCUGAGAGAAGUAGCGCUGAAAAAGCGGGGGUCUAACAACACCACCCAAUAUUUCGAUUAUCAAU